rnacentral:rRNA from 1 species
UGCAGUCGACGAUGAUGCCCAGCUUGCUGGGUGGAUUAGUGGCGAACGGGUGAGUAACACGUGAGUAACCUGCCCCUGACUCUGGGAUAAGCGUUGGAAACGACGUCUAAUACUGGAUAUGAUCACUGGCCGCAUGGUCUGGUGGUGGAAAGAUUUUUUGGUUGGGGAUGGACUCGCGGCCUAUCAGCUUGUUGGUGAGGUAAUGGCUCACCAAGGCGACGACGGGUAGCCGGCCUGAGAGGGUGACCGGCCACACUGGGACUGAGACACGGCCCAGACUCCUACGGGAGGCAGCAGUGGGGAAUAUUGCACAAUGGGCGAAAGCCUGAUGCAGCAACGCCGCGUGAGGGAUGACGGCCUUCGGGUUGUAAACCUCUUUUAGUAGGGAAGAAGCGAAAGUGACGGUACCUGCAGAAAAAGCACCGGCUAACUACGUGCCAGCAGCCGCGGUAAUACGUAGGGUGCAAGCGUUGUCCGGAAUUAUUGUGCGUAAAGAGCUCGUAGGCGGUUUGUCGCGUCUGCUGUGAAAUCCCGAGGCUCAACCUCGGGCUUGCA